rnacentral:RNase_P_RNA from 1 species
CAAGUCGGCUAGACAAUCGCUCUACUCAUAAGGUAGGGAGGAAAGUCCGGACUCCGCAGGGCAGAGUGCCAGGUAACGCCUGGGGGGUGUGAACCUACGGAAAGUGCAACAGAAAGAUACCGCCAGCUUUGUACCCUUGGGUAUACUGGUAAGGGUGAAAUGGUGCGGUAAGAGCGCACCGCGGCGUUGGUAACAACGAUGGCAUGGCAAACCCCACUUGGAGCAAGACCAAAUAGGAGCCUUCAUGUGGCCCGCAAUAAGGGGCUCGGGUUGGUCGCUUGAGCUUUAUGGUGACAUAAAGCCCAGAUGAAUGAUUGUUCACGACAGAAUCCGGCUUAUCGGCUGACUUGCAAU